rnacentral:rRNA from 1 species
UCCACGCCCUAAACGAUGAACACUAGUCGUCGGGAUGCUAGUCAUCUCGGUGAUGCACUUAACAGAUUAAGUGUUCCGCCUGGGGAGUACGGUCGCAAGAUUAAAACUCAAAGGAAUAGACGGGGAAGCGGUGGAGCAUGGGGUUUAAUUCGAUAAUACACGGGGAACCUUACCUGGACUUGACAUCUAGAGAGUCCUUCAGAGACGAAGGAGUGCCGCAAGGAGCUCUAAGA